rnacentral:lncRNA from 1 species
UAGUUUUCUUCCAAUUAUCUUGCUUCUAGUUUCUUUCUAUCAUGAUUUUCACUUAAACACUUUUUACUCUAUAAAUUUCAUCUAUUUCAUCUAUUGUUGUGUUAUGGUUCUUCUUUUGAAGAACGCAUAACUCUGCUUUCUUUUCUUAUUUUCUCGUGGUCUUUUCUUUGUUUCUUUUCCUUGCUUUUAUCAUGGUAGAAGAUAACUUUGUCCAC